CUCUCCCCAGAGACAUCCUGUGAAGAGCAGGUCUAAGUCCACAGAGGAGAUCCAGCAGGCAAAGAAGGCUUUCCACACCCCUCAGAAGUCUCUGCCUGGACGGUCAGACCUGGAAAAGGUGAAGGAGGGUCCAGAGGACUCAGAGACUGCAGCCCCGCCCACCGACGAGUCGAAGUGAUGUUUGAAAUAACCAUGAGGGCUCAAAACACUCCAAACACACACACGCACACAGACACAGACAGAUACACAUUUCCUCCCUCCCUCUUAAACAAAACGCAGAACACACACACA